AUGUGGCUGGUUUUACCCUUCCAGGUUGACAGUGGUGAUAAGAGAAAUCUAUUUGGGACUAUACUUCAGGCAAAGAGAAGAACUGAUGUUCAGACUUACAAAAGAGGUAGAACAUAUAUGCUUCCCAUUAUGCGAGAAAGAAACAGGCCUGAGAGUCUAAUGGAUUACUCAAGUCUAUGCUGCCAAGGAAGAACAGAAUCUUUAGGAGCUGCGAUAGGAUCAAGAGAUUUCAGCAUGCAUGUGGCCAUAGAUUGUCUGAGAAAGAAGCCAUCUGUUAGAGUUGACAGUCUCUACUUUAAUCCUUUACAUCUUUCAAAAGCUGAUAUCCGUAUGAAGGACCAUAAAUCCUCCUUAAUAUCCUUGUGGAUGAUGGAAAGACUAGAAGGUAAGAAGAUAUUAAUUGGAAAUUAAAUAAUUUGGAAGAGGAGAACCCUACCUUUUGGCUGUCUAUAAAAUUAGGUUAUUGGACUAGACAACUUAAAAAUUCUAACAUGAGAAUGAUAGAUAAUCAAAUUAUCCUGCAUUUGGGAUUCAUGCUAAAUGAGCACAGGCAAACCUCACUUUAUUGUGCUUUGCUUUGUUGUGUUUUUCAGAUAUCAUGUGUUUUACAAAUUGAAGGUUUGUGGAAACCCUGCAUAAAGCAAGUCUGUUGGUGACAUUUUCCCAACAGCAUUUGCUCACUUUGUGUUUCUGUGUCACAUGUUAGUAAUUCUUACAAUAUUUCAAACCUUUUUAUUAUUAUAUCUGUUCUGGUGAUCUGUGAUCAGUGAUCUUUGAUGUUACUACUAUAAUUUUUUUGGAUGCUGUGAACUGUGCCCAUAUAAAAUGGUGAAUUAAAUCAACACAAGUUGUGUGGUUCUUCCUGCUCCAAUGACCAGUUAUUCCCUGACCUCUCUCCCUGUUCUCAGACCUUCCUAGCCCCUGAGACAACAGUCUUGAAAUUAGGCUAAUUAACAAUCCUGCAAUGUCAUCUAAGUGUUAAAGUCAAAGGAAGAGUCACAAGUCUCUAACUUUAAAUCAAAAGCUAGAAAUAAUUAAGCUUAGUCAAAAAGGCAUGUUGAAAGCUGAGAUAGGCAGAAAGCUAGGCCUCUUGCACCAAUCAGUUAGUUGAGUUGUGGAUGAAAAGAAAAAGUUUUUGAGGAAAUUAAAAGUACUACUUCAGUGACUGCUCAAAUGAUAAGAAAGUAAAACACCCUUAUGCUAUUAUGGAGGGAGUUUUAAUGGCCUGGACAGAUCAAACUGGCUACAACAUUCCCUUAAGCUAAAGCCUAAUCCAGAGAAAGGCCCUAACUCUCUUCAAUUCUAUGAAGGCUGACAGAGGUGAGGAGGCUAAGGACAAAAAGUUGGAAGCUAGCAGAGGUCAUUCAUGAGGUUUAAGGAAAGAAGUCAUCUCCAUAAAAUAAAAGUACAAGGUAAAGCAGCUUGUGCCAAUGGAAAAGCUGCGUCCAGUCAUC
rnacentral:lncRNA from 1 species